UAAAUCAGCAGUAGGGAAUCUUCCACAAUGGCAAAAGCCUGAUGGAGCAACGCCGCGUGCAGGAUGAAUGCCUUCGGGUUGUAAACUGCUUUUAUAUGUGACGAUUAUGACGGUAGCAUAUGAAUAAGGAUCGGCUAACUCCGUGCCAGCAGCCGCGGUCAUACGGAGGAUCCAAGCGUUAUCCGGAAUUACUGGGCGUAAAGAGUUGCGUAGGUGGCAUAGUAAGCGGGCAGUGAAAUCGUAUGGCUCAACCAUAUAAACAUUGUCUGAACUGCUAAGCUAGAGGACGAGAGAGGUACCUGGAAUUCCUGGUGUAGGAGUGAAAUCCGUAGAUAUUAGGAGGAACACCGAUGGCGUAGGCAGGGUACUGGCUUGUUCCUGACACUAAGGCACGAAAGCGUGGGGAGUGACCCGGAUUAGAUACCCGGUUAAUCCACGCCGUAAACGAUGGAUGCUAGCCGUUAUCGGUAUCGACCCCGAUAGUAGCAAAGCUAACGCGUUAAGCAUCCCGCCUGUGGAGUACGGUCGCAAGACUAAAACAUAAAGGAAUUGACGGGGACCCGCACAAGCGGUGGAGCGUGUUGUUUAAUUCGAAAGUAAGCGAAGAACCUUACCCAGGUUUGACAUCCUGUGAAUUUCUCCGAAAGGAGAGAGUGCUUUAUUGAACGCAGUGACAGGUGGUGCAUGGA
rnacentral:rRNA from 1 species